rnacentral:misc_RNA from 1 species
AUUUUGGCCCAUUUAAUUAUUAAAAUUACAGGCAAAAUCUUACAAAAUUUAGUUUAAAUGGGCAAGAACAAAUGGUUGAAUAUGAAGGUUUGCUGAAAAUAUACUUUGAUUGUGGCCGGUAUAGGCAUAGAGGGGACCUGUUUCCAUAUAAAAUGAGGGACAAUAUGUAGAAGAUGAUAGCUCUUAACCGAGCUCAUGAAGAUGGUGUGGCAAAGAAGAACUUUAGGCCACGGAUGGUGGCUUCCAGCCACUGCUAAAAGAACCCACUAAGAAGAGAUGUUUUUGUACUCAAACAGGG